rnacentral:misc_RNA from 1 species
UACGUAGGUGGCAAGCGUUGUCCGGAAUUAUUGGGCGUAAAGCGCUCGCAGGCGGUCCUUUAAGUCCGAUGUGAAAGCCCACGGCUCAACCGUGGAGGGUCAUUGGAAACUGGGGGACUUGAGUGAAGAAGAGGAGGGUGGAAUUCCACGUGUAGCGGUGAAAUGCGUAGAGAUGUGGAGGAACACCAGUGGCGAAGGCGACUCUCUGGUCUGUAACUGACGCUGAGGAGCGAAGGCGUGGGGAGCGAACAGG